UGAAAAAGGAAGUGAAAGUGAAAAAUAAACGUGGUAAAAUUACUUUCUUAUUCUGGUCAACCUCUGGACACGGCAGCAGUCCCUUCAAAAGUAACACGUACAACCUUUGUCACUUGCUUUACAAUCAUAAUCGAGUACCCAGUCAAAAAGCCGUUGACAGAACCCACUUAUUACUGAAGACAAAUAGGUCCUCAAGUCACCAUGAGUUAUGAAAAACAAUACUUUUUUGAUAAGAUUAACAUGGAAACAAUUCUCUCAGUGAAGUUUGACCUGAAGAAGAAUCAGCUGUUGGAGCCAGUUCUGAACACCAACCUGGACCAUGCAGCUAGAGUAAUGUCAUCCAUGCCUAGGGCUAUUUUAUCUGAGGCCACACUCUGCGUUGCAGGGGAAAAUGUGCUCGUAAGAUUCAUCCCAAACAAGGUCAAGUCAAGUCAGUCACUACCUCAGGAACUCCAGGGCAACAUCCAUUUUAAUGUGAUCACCAACAAUGGUCAGCCCCAGCUGAUACGCCAUGUGACCUGCCCUGAUGUAAUCACAGUCUCUGACAUAAAAGAUGUUCACUUUUCAGGGCACAGUUGCCAGGAUAUGCUUCAGUCGUGUUCUGAACAAGCCAGACAGCUAGUGUCAGAAGGUGAAAUGCAAGAUUUUGCAGAGCUACACAUAGUCUGCAACAAGCUGUCGCUCAUAUAUUCAUCUGGUAAUCAAGCUAAGGACGGUCAGAGUCUGGACAGUCAGAGGUACGUUCUGAAAACUCAGUGCAGGUUUAUGUUUCCGCAUGUCAGCAAAAUGGAAGCAAUACUGAAAAUGAAAAGUUGGAUUGAACAGGAAAAGCCAGAGAAAGGGGGUCUUAUUGCCUGCGUAGAACACCUCCUCCAGCAAUUCAUUCACCUUUCCAGUCUACCCUACGAUGACGACUGCUUCAUUCUACAGAGUGAUGGGGAAAUGGCCGAGUUGAGCUUUUCCCAUGAAAGGGGACAGGAAUAUUUUUUGUUUGGUGGUAAAAAAGGUGUGUCCAUGUUCCCUGUUAAAUGGGGAUUAUAUUAAAUUAAAUUGCAUUCAGUUGACUGAUUGAAGCCCUGCGAUGGACUGGCGCACUGUCCAGGGCGUAUUCCUGCCUUUCGCCCAAUGUAUGCUGGGAUAGGCUCCAGCCCCCCUGCGAUCCUGUUCAGGAUAAGCGGGUUCAGUAAUGGAUGGAUGGAUGGAUGACUGAUUGAAUAUUGAAAUGACAAAAUUGUAGUUCAUUUACAGUUUAUGUACUUUACAAGUUUUCAUUUGAAUAAAAAAAGAUUAAUGUAUAUUGUAAAACAGCUGCCCAUUAUUAUACAAGUAAUGCAAUGAAAUUCAGAAUGUACACUUGUACACUUGUGACAUAUGCAUCGAAACAAAAAGGUAAAAUUUGAAACUUCUCUCCUGUUCACCAGUCAUGGGGAUGAAUGAUUAGAAUCUGUAGGAUUUUACAUUUCUUUAUGCUGUAAGAUUGAUUGCAAUCAGUAGCAGCUGCAAAAACUAUUUCAGAUAUGUCAAAACUACAAUGGGAGUUUGGCAAAAAUGUAUUUACUGAUAGUUGUGUUGGGUAAUGAAAAAAAUUGUGAUUGCCUUUACGAUAAAGGCGAAGUAUGAAGCCAUCAUUUACUUUAUAUAACUCCUCACUGUAGUUACCAAAUAAAGGUCAGCACCUGAA